rnacentral:rRNA from 1 species
AACAGGGAUUACCUCAGUAACGGGCGAGUGAAGCGGUAACAGCUCAAUUUGAAAUCUGGCCGCAAGGUCCGAGUUGUAAUUUGUAGAGGAUGUUUCGAGCAUGGUCUGGCCUAAGUUCCUUGGAACAGGACGUCAUAGAGGGUGAGAAUCCCGUAUGCGGUCAGGUGCCUACGCUCAUGUGAAACUCCUUCGACGAGUCGAGUUGUUUGGGAAUGCAGCUCAAAAUGGGUGGUAAAUUUCAUCUAAAGCUAAAUAUUGGCCAGAGACCGAUAGCGCACAAGUAGAGUGAUCGAAAGAUGAAAAGCACUUUGGAAAGAGAGUUAAACAGUACGUGAAAUUGUUGAAAGGGAAGCGCUUGCAACCAGACUUGCGCGCGGCUGAUCAUCCGGGCUUCUGCCCGGUGCACUCGGUCGCGCUCAGGCCAGCAUCGGUUUUGGUGGCGGGAUAAAGGCCUUGGGAAUGUAGCUCCUCUCGGGGAGUGUUAUAGCCCAGGGUGCAAUGCCGCCUACCGGGACCGAGGACCGCGCUUCGGCUAGGAUGCUGGCGUAAUGGUUGUAAGCGACCCGUCUUGAAACACGGACC